GACGAAGGUGGCAAGCGUUGUUCGGUAUCACUGGGCUUAAAGCGUGUGUAGGUGGAAAAGUAAGCGUUUUGUGAAAUCCCCCGGCUUAACCGGGGAAUUGUGGGGCGAACUGCUUUUCUUGAGGCAAGUAGGGGUGCAUGGAACUCUUGGUGGAGCGGUGGAAUGCGUAGAUAUCAAGAGGAACGCCAGUGGUGAAAACGGUGCACUGGGCUUGUCCUGACACUGAGACACGAAAGCGUGGGUAGCGAACGGG
rnacentral:rRNA from 1 species